rnacentral:rRNA from 1 species
AGUCGACGGUACAGGUCUUCGGACGCUGACGAGUGGCGAACGGGUGAGUAAUACAUCGGAACGUGCCCAGUCGUGGGGGAUAACUACUCGAAAGAGUAGCUAAUACCGCAUACGAUCUGAGGAUGAAAGCGGGGGACCUUCGGGCCUCGCGCGAUUGGAGCGGCCGAUGGCAGAUUAGGUAGUUGGUGGGAUAAAAGCUUACCAAGCCGACGAUCUGUAGCUGGUCUGAGAGGACGACCAGCCACACUGGGACUGAGACACGGCCCAGACUCCUACGGGAGGCAGCAGUGGGGAAUUUUGGACAAUGGGCGAAAGCCUGAUCCAGCAAUGCCGCGUGCAGGAUGAAGGCCUUCGGGUUGUAAACUGCUUUUGUACGGAACGAAAAAGCUUCUCCUAAUACGAGAGGCCCAUGACGGUACCGUAAGAAUAAGCACCGGCUAACUACGUGCCAGCAGCCGCGGUAAUA